ACUGGCUUCGACAGUACAUAAACAAAAGUUGGAACGAUACAGAGAAGAUUAGCAUGGCCCAUGCGCAUGGCUGACACUAAAAAUCGGGAAACGUUCCACAUUUUU